rnacentral:rRNA from 1 species
CACGUGGGUAACCUGCCCAUAAGACUGGGAUAACUCCGGGAAACCGGGGCUAAUACCGGAUAACAUUUUGAACCGCAUGGUUCGAAAUUGAAAGGCGGCUUCGGCUGUCACUUAUGGAUGGACCCGCGUCGCAUUAGCUAGUUGGUGAGGUAACGGCUCACCAAGGCAACGAUGCGUAGCCGACCUGAGAGGGUGAUCGGCCACACUGGGACUGAGACACGGCCCAGACUCCUACGGGAGGCAGCAGUAGGGAAUCUUCCGCAAUGGACGAAAGUCUGACGGAGCAACGCCGCGUGAGUGAUGAAGGCUUUCGGGUCGUAAAACUCUGUUGUUAGGGAAGAACAAGUGCUAGUUGAAUAAGCUGGCACCUUGACGGUACCUAACCAGAAAGCCACGGCUAACUACGUGCCAGCAGCCGCGGUAAUACGUAGGUGGCAAGCGUUAUCCGGAAUUAUUGGGCGUAAAGCGCGCGCAGGUGGUUUCUUAAGUCUGAUG